GUGCUCGCUUUGGCACCACAUAUACUAACAUUGGAAUGAUACAGAGAUUAGCAUGGCCUCUGUGCAAGAAUGACAUGCAAAUUCAUGAAGCAUUCCAUAUUUUU